rnacentral:lncRNA from 1 species
GUCUCUGUUGACUUCAGGUGCUCUGAUGUGUCCUCCACCAUUGAUUCUUCUCUGACCAUGGUUAUGGGAGAUGAUAUGGUUAAAGUGAUUGCUUGGUAUGAUAAUGAAUGGGGUUACUCUCAGAGAGUUGUUGAUUUGGCUGACAUUGUUGCCAAUAACUGGAAGUGAAGACCUCAUCUUUUGAUGUCUGCUCCAUUUUUUAUUACUGUUAUAUGAUUCGGAAUGUAUAAUUGUAGUUCCUGAGUUUAUGUAUUUGUGCUCUGCAAUUUUAUAGUAAUAAACUUUAUAUUCAAACAUAUACAUCCUUCUCUUAAACUUAUAUUGAUUUCAACAUGUUUCACAAUAUUCAGAGAUAACCAAACUAAAGUCAAUUCUUAAGCAUUAAUCUGUGUGUGAUUAGUUGAUUUCUCUUUGGUGUCAUAUGUGUCUUUUUUUUUCCAUUUGGUGUCCAAAUAGCAUAUGAAGACACAAGUCUAUCUUUAUCACUUAAAACAGACAAAGAGAUAUCAAAAUAUUCCAGACAAAGUUUGAGAUUAUGUAAUGUCACAUGCAAACUGAAGUCAUGUUUGCUUCUUAUGUUUCAACUUGUUUACAUUAGUAUUAGAAGCAUCUUUUCAACUGAAUCCAAAAGCUAAAAUAAAGAUUGAAAAAGAACUAAUUAACUACAAAACAGUAACAAGGAUCUAUUUGAGACUCCUCUAGCUUUGAAGAAUCAUCCUGCACUGUCUCUUCCUCUGAUCUCAAUUUCCUUUCUUCUUCUUCUUCUUGCAUUACUCUUAGAAACUCUUCAAGUGCUCUCUGCAUCCACUCAUACCGACACAGCUCUAAUGCUUCUUUAACAUUCAACUGCAACAUUUUUAAUUUCCCAAAGUUAUAUAUGAAAAGAAAGAAUCAUCACUUUAUUCGAUUUUUAAACUUGUUAUUAUUAUGUUUUGAGCAUUUUUAAAUUACCCAUUUCCUCUCACGAUUCUCACGUUCUGGCCAUUCCUCUAGUUCUUCGGUUACCUCUAACGCAAACAUAUAUCCUUUGCAUCCACCAUAGCAUUCAUCCUCCUCAUUACAACUACUACUUUUGCUUCUAAAUUCCCAAACUCCUAAAGGAACUUCCUGAAAAAAAAUGACCAAACAAAAUGACAAACAAAACUUUCUCAAUCUCUUUGUUUUAAACAGUUUUAAGAAACUUACUCUAAGGCUUCCUUUAACUCCAGCCUCUUCCAUGGCUUCACGAGAAGCAGCUUCAAGAACUGUCUCAUCAUCUUCCCAUCCUCCCUGAUAAUAGUUAUAACAUACACAACAACCAAAAGAGUUUUCAUAAAGACAGUACGAGAGGGAGAUUUUCAGAAGAAAUUAAGAAAAACCUUUGGGAAGACAAGAUCAUGGCGAUUAGGAGAUGAAACCAUGAGAAGUUGAAGCUUGUUUACAAAUUCAACACUUGUGUUUUCUUCACUUCCCUCGUCUUUGAUCAGCCUAUACGGAAUGCAUCUGUUCAUCAAACUCUAGGAAAUCAUUGAUAUGAUGAUGAUGAUGAUGAUGAAAAGAAGAAGAAGAAGAAGAGAAUGGACUUUUAUGUACCCAGAAACGAGACGAAAGUUGUUGUCGUAACGUUGACGAUCUCGUCCUGUCCGAGAUGAAAGAACCGACAUUGAUGAAUCUGCAACAAAAGAUUUCAACACAAAACCAAAAAAAAAAAGAGAAUGCUGUCUGUUACGUUCUUGAAAAGCCCUCUCUUCUUGAUUAUUAGGGUUUAUUAAGAAACAUGAUCAUCAUCAUGGGAUAUCAUUUCAUCUUCAUAUUCGCGAGAAACAACAACUCUCGUUUUUUAUUUUCCAAAAUUAACGUUUUUUCAAAAAAAAAAUCUUCUUGUUUGUACGUUCUCUCUAUUUUUAGGGAGAGAGGAGUGUAUACCAACGAGCAUCUCUAUUUAAAUCAUUUAAAAAAAAAAAAAAAUAUCAUUAAAAUGAAGUUACUAGGAAGGUGACGGAUCUGAUUCCAUAAUUGACUUUCUUUCUACAGUUCAUAUCAACAGAGUAAUAUUCUCCACUAAAGAGAAUAACUCUGGAUAAAUAAAUGCUACAAAAACUUAUCUUGAGAUGUGUUUCCAAGGAGACCAUUGACACCGAAUUGGUAUUUACUACUUUCAAUCUGUUUCGAGCUAUAUUCCAUUUUUAGUAUUUCGGACAAUGAAAAAGUGUAUCUCUUAACACAAGUUGCUAUAGAGUUGAGUUGUGUCGGAUAAUAUGUUUCAUAAAUCCUUAAUCCAUGUGUGUUAAGAACUUUACUGUUAUUACCAAACCCCUACUUGCAUGGUACUUCCAUUGAUGUAUUUGGAAGCACGAACCAUUUCUUGUAUGUUACGUUUUGUUGAUGAGAUGUUUUUUGCUCUUCUCUUAUGUUUUUUAUUUUUACUAAAAUGAGGCUAUUGUACAUGUGGAUAUCUCACCAGACUGCAUGAGUCGCGAUGUGAGAGUAAUAUAUCUUCUUGAUCGUCAAAAACCAAAAAAAAAAAAAUAAUAAUAAUAAUAUGAGCACAGGUUUAAGAAACAGUGAAUUUGGUUAUAUUUUUUAAUAGUAUGUAAGAAUCUGCUGCAAAUAAUAAGACCAUCGUCAUAGCAGUUUCUUAGAUGAGUUUUUAAAGAAAACAAGGCAAUUAAUUAAAUGGAAACAAAAUUAAAAGCUUAUAAUCGAUCCUUUAUAACACGUGUCAGCUUCUAGGGUUUUUUUUUUCUUUUCUUUUCUUUUCUUUUCUUCCUCUCUCCUCUUCUCUCAUCUUCUCUCGUGUUCUCCGUCGAGGAGAAACAUCGACGGCGACGGAGCUUCGUCUUGGAAGCGGCGCCGCCUCGUUUCGUCACGCUUCGCCGCCUCGUUUCGUCACGCUUCGCCUCGUUUCGUCACGCUUCGCCUCAGGUUCGUGCUGAUCUCCAAAACAGUGUCGAUUUCGUUUUUAAGAUUGUUUAUACGGCUUUGACUCUUGAGUUUCUACUUUGUGAUGUGACUGCGAUGGUAGUCAGAUUUUAGCUUCCCCGAGGUCUUCGUUAGAGAUUGGAUAGGAAUUGCAAUUUUGAUUUCUGAUUUUGGGAAUUGGGAGAUGGAUUUGAUCCGAGUGUUAUAGAUGUAAUGAGAGCCGUGCAAUAGUUUUGAAUUGAUUUUGUGGGAAGCUUGAUGUGUAAUUGAAGAUAUUUCUUUCAAAUUAUUGGCACCUCUUUUAGGAUAUUUGGUCUGAUUAGCACUUCUUGUAGGCCGUCUCAGAACCUUGCUUUUUUUGUUUGGUUUGUCUAAUUUCUCAUUCCUUGCCUGGUCUCAUGGAUUCCGUUAGUCGGGGUACCGGGUUUCUAAGGAAUGAAUGUAUGAUACAUUCUGCUUUGUGGCUUCAACAAGAUACUUUGUAUGUUUUCCUAGGAAUUUUUUUCAAAACCAGAAGGAUAAGUCAAGCAUUGCCUUUGAUCCUUCUCUUUCUCUUUUGCAUUUAGUUGGGGUAAGGAUAGAUACUUCAGACCAUAUGCUUUAAUCCUUUUCAGGAAUUGACUGGAUUUGAGAUACAAGUCUUUAGUUUGCCUGAUGACUGCUUGAUAUCUAAAUCUUUAAAACAAUAAUAGUAUUCAGUAUUUUAUCGUAGGCUGUUCUGAGAGGGGAUUUGAUGCUCUUUCCUAAUUAUUUUCUAUUUGUACUCUCAGCUUAAGUAAGUUUUUAUCCGUGUAUUGCAGGCAUUUGACAUAGCUUUCCUUCAAAGUUCAUUGUCAAUUGUAUCAUUUGUUUCUAUGCUUUUGGAAUUGAAAGUACUUAUUUAUUGAUGCAAAGUCUUUCUGUUGGAUCAGUUGUAUGUGCCAACCUUUUUUUUAAAGAAAUUCCCAUUGGAGCAAGAAAAUUAGGUGAUUCUUAACUAAGGUCCUUAGCUAAAAUUUAAUAGUAAAUGUACUUAAGAAACCUUAUGAGUUUCUAGGGAUAAUCAUGCUCUAAUAAUAAUAUAAGAAAAUCUUGUCUAGUUUUGUAUUUCAUAUCACUUUAUAGUUUUUAUAACUUGAUUUUGAGGACAACAAUUAAAAUAACAUUAUGAAAAACAUAUAGUUAACCAAAUUUAAACUAGCUAUACUCUAAAUCUCAACUCAAUACAAGAUAUAUAACCAGACUUUUUAACCCCUUUGUAUCUUUGUGACCUAAUAUGAGUUUGAGAUCUUCUAGUUUCUGUUUUCUUCAAAGAUCACCCACCAGAAAACAACCGGUUUGUAACUGACACUAUCUCUUUUUCUUUAAAGAACAACAGUUGUCUGCUAGUAUAACUAAUUAACGGUUUUCCACAUUGUUAUAAUGAUGAUGAUGAUGAGCAUGUUGGUAACAUCAAAUAGAUUUCCUUGCCUUCUUUUCCAAAUGAUCAUGUUGACUCUAAAUAUAUAUUAGAAUAAGGAUAGAUUUUUCAUUAAUAUUUUGAACAAGUUCAUCUCCAUCCCAAUACACCAAUUAAACUCACAUGGAUGAGUCGUCUAGAUAAGUUUUAUUUUAGGCUAAAAUUAAAAACACUGAUACAUAUUUCAACUUAAAACGAACAUCAUCAAUUCUCCUCUACCUUGAAGAAUUAUCUUGCAUUGUCUCUUCCUUUGUUCUCUAUUUUCCUCCUUCUUCUUCUUGCAUUACUCUCAAAAACGCUUCAAGUGCUCUCUGCAUCCACUCAUACCGACACAGCUCUAGUGCUUCUUUAACAUUCAACUGCAAAUUUUUCAUGUGAUCCCAAAUUUAUAUAUGAAAUGACAUAAUCAUCAGUUCAUUCGAUCUUAUACUUGUUAUUAUAUUUUGAGCUUCUUACCCAUUUUCUUUGGCGAUUCCCACGUUCUGGCCAUUCCUGGAGUUCUUCGGUUACCUCUAAUGCAAACAUAUAGCCUUUGCAUCCACCAAAAGAUUCAUCCUCCGCAUUGGUACUAAUACUACUUUUGCUUCUAAAUUCCCAAACUCCUAAAGGAACUUCCUGAAACAAAUGACCAAUAAAUGAUAAACAAACUUUUUGAAUCACUUUUCCUUGAAGAUUGAAAACUUACUCUAAGUAUUCCUUUAACUCCAGCUUCUUCCAUGGCUUCGCGAGAAGCAGCUUCAAGAACGGUCUCAUCAUUUUCCCAUCCUCCCUGAUAAUAAUAGUAACAUAACACCAAAAAAAAUAAAGUUUUUAUAAAGACAGGAAGAGAGGGAGAUUUUCGAAAGAAAUUGAAAAAAAAACCUUUGGGAAGACAAGAUCAUGACGAUUAGGAGAUGAAACCAUGAGAACUUGAAGCUUGUUUACAAAGUCAACACUUGUGUCUUCUUCAAGUUCCUUGUCUUUGAUCAGACGAUACGGAAUGCAUCUGUUCAUCAAACACUAAGAAAUCAACCAUUUUGCUUUCUCGUUUUUGUAUAUGUUUCCGACAGUUGCAAACUUGCAAAACUGCUCAUCAUUCGAAAAAAAAGAAAUGAUUUUCUUAUAUUUACCCAGAAACGAGUCGGAAGUUGUUGUCGUAACGUUGACGAUCUCGUCCUGUCCGAGAUGAAAGAACCGACAUUGAUGAAUCUGCAACAAAAACANNNNNNNNNNNNNNNNNNNNNNNNNNNNNNNNNNNNNNNNNNNNNNNNNNNNNNNNNNNNNNNNNNNNNNNNNNNNNNNNNNNNNNNNNNNNNNNNNNNNUCCUUGAUGAGACGCUUACUAUGGUUGGUACUUUGUGAGGUGUGAGCAACAAGGUGAUUGACCAUAUGCUCUGCUUCCACACAAAAAAUGCCAUAUGCUGAGAUUUUUAUCUGCAGCCAAGAGUGUCAGAGAAAAUUCAGUUGUGACUUUUCAGUGGUCCUAAGAAGGUAUGUGGGGAGAUGAGAACAAGCCAAAUGAUGUGCAAAUGUGACACCAUAAUGGAGAACCACACUUGGGAAGCCCAAGUGAGAAGAAAAUAUUAGUGAAUCAUACAAAAAUGUGAAGAGGGAAGAGACUGAUCAAUAACAACUAUACAAAUGAAUGACAAAGCUAUCCAGAAUCUCAUCUUCUUUGCCUCCAUCUUAGCAAUUUUCUUUCCGAUAUUACUUAUGCCAACGAACCACAAAAAAAGUUAUCCGACAGAAGAUUAAAUCAUUGUUUACACAUUUACACUGUAAAGAUCACAUAUGUUUCACUGUAAAAAUGCUUUCAUUCUUCUGCUUUCAGAAGACUUGUCACUUGCAGCGAAAACGGCAUGCGCUCCGUGUGGUUGAAGACAUCAUUGUUGUAGUUCCAAAUACCAGUCCCAAGAGUAACCCGAGGAAGCAAACACAACAUAUAUUAGAUGGUAAGAACAAUUCUUGCAUUUAUUGGACACAAGAGUUCUUUACCAAGAAUCGGACAGCUGUUGUCUGAUCUAGCUUCUAGCUUGUUAUCACACAGUAAUCAAGUGGAAAACUCAUAUCAACUGCGUUUGAGAUUCCCCUUUGUGAUUUUCCAAAGAAAUGCUUCAUUCGUGACUUUGUAGAACACAAUCUUAGGUGUUGAGUUGGAUCUCGAAAAAAUGUCAAUGAUAGCUUCUUCACCAAAAUUUUGGUGAUGAAGCGACAUCGGAAGCGGUGAGAGGAGUGAGCUUGCAGUCUUUACCGGAUGCAGCAGUACGUACAAAGCCAUGAGAAUCAUGCCUUGCAGGUACAUGUCAUGUAUAGGAAUAUUUGCAAUGUUUAACUCUCGGUGUGUACUCCAAUGAGGUGGUAGUAUAAUGUGUUACCCUGUUUUUCUUUACUCUAACCUAAGAAUCCCACUAUCAUCGACGACCUUUCUUCUGCUGCAGAAAGGAACCUUUCCAACAAAUCAUACGCUAGAAAAGCACCUUUGAAAUCAUCCUUUAUGCCAUAUUGAAAUUGCGCAUUCCAGUCAUCUAUAGUGAACUGAUCUUGAACUAAACACAAUAAUGCAUUAGCACACAGUCAAAGCAAAAAAGGUAAAUCAUAUUUAUAGAUGUUUCUUUUAGUGUCUUCAUCGGUGGUAAUGGUGUUAUACUGUUGUCUUGUGAUUUAGAAAGGUCGAAUUUGGAUGUAUAUGAUUGGAAUCCAAUCAUCAUGCCUUGAUGAAAUAAAUUGAUUUGUUAUCAUAUCAGGAAAGAAAGUUUCAAAUGAAAAAAAAAAGAUCGAAAGAAAAUAAACUGAACCUAGCAAAGUUAAAUUGACAAUGUAGCUCUGAUCAGUAUGGGCCUUGAAGUGAACUCUGCUAGUGAUAGAUUGACCAUCAAUUACGUGAAUAUCCUACGAGAGAACACAUCGGAUACGGCAACAGUGCACAUGGUAGAACUGAACUACAAUACUCAGACGAUUUUAUUUUAAGGACUGCACUAAGAUUGUCUCGUGAACUGAUCCAUAAUACUCAGACGAUUUUAUUUUAAGGAGAUCUGAACUAAGAAGAUUGUUUUAACUAAUAACUAUAUAUACUAUUUAAGCAUUGAAAUCUUUUUAAAAUUUUGGUAAAAUCGUGUCAACUUUAUUAGAAGUCUUAAUUUCUAAGUCUCAUUUGCAUGCAUCCAACAGUAUCAUAAAAUGGUUCAUGCAAAUGAAAAAAAAAACAUGUUCACAAUCCUUUGAUGUUGUUUAAGAGAAAAAUAAUUAAAAUAUUAGUUUAUUCUGCCUAAAAAUACGUAAUAAUGUUAGAGAUUAAUAAUUUAUAACAAAGUGUUGCAAUAAAGUUCAAAUUAUAGAUACAAUAAAAUAUUAUAAAUUAAUAUUUGAUAAAUUAAUAAAAAAAUUCUGGUUUCAAGUUGAACUAUUUCAAAAUGUAACACAAAUCGAUAAGAUAAUAAAAUAAUAUUUUUUUAGAAAAACCUAUGUAAAUAUAUGGUCUAUUAAAAUUAUAAAUUAUUAAUUUAUAUGUAUAUAUAUAUUAUAUAUGUACAAGUUAAAAUGCUCUUGUUACUAUCCUCAACAUGUAAAGCUUGCACUGAGUGUUCUCCAAUCGUAUAAAUGAAUCUGCUUGACCUCUUUACUUUAUUCACUAUGCAAAGCUUGCAUUGACUCUUGAUGUAUGGUUUGUUGAUAAGAAAGUUUGAUACUUUGAUCUUGAAUUUUGCUCAUCAAUCUUUCUCUCUCUAGUCUGAUCCAUGGGAAGUGUGUAUCUAAAUAUUGUGCGUAAACUAUUAUGUUUAGUUUUCUAUUUGAUAAGUCCAAUGGGGCUCUAAAGUUAAACUACAAAUCUCAUUUGAAUAAGUUCUCCUGCAAGUAGGCUGUUGAGUAGACUGUAGAAGUAUCAGCUCCAGUGUUGUAAAUGUGCCAAGUCUAUACUAUGCAUUUCAACUACUUGAUCGUUGUACUAAAAAGAUAAACACUGCUUAAAAGUGGGACAAUAGUACAUUAAAUCUAAAGGGGGAAUGAAGGAGUAAUUGGAAGGUGGUUUUCUCUUGGUUUAUCAAGUUGUUUUUCACCGUAUUGAGCCGAGUUUAUGUAAUGAGUAAUGAGACUAAUCAUCCAUCAUCUCCUAUUCUACUUGAUAAAAUGCUUACCACAAUUGGUACUUUGUGAGGUCUAAGCAACAAGGUGACCGAUCAUGUGAUCUGCUUCCACACAAAAAAUGCCAUAUGCUGAGAUUUUAUCUGCAGGCAAGAGUGUCAGAGAAAAUUCAGUUGUGACUUUUCAAUGGUCCUAAGAUGAGAUGAGAACAAGCCAAAUGCAGUGCAAAUGUGACCACAUGAUGGAGAAGCCCACUUGAGCAAAGCCCAAGUGAGAAGAAAAAAUCAGUGAAUCGUACAAAAACGUGAAGAGGGAAGAGAGUGAUCAAUCACAACCAUACAAACGAAUGACAAAGCUAUCCAGAAUCUCAUCUUCUUUGCCUCCAGCUCAGCAAUUCUCUUUCCUAUAUUACUUAUCUCUCCCUUCAACAUUGCUUUCUGUCCUCAUUUUUUCUGCUGCUACAGUUUAUACAGCUUCUCUCUCUCUGGUAGCCAUGGCUUCGGCUACUUUCUCUGUCGCCAAACCAUCUCUUCAGGUUUUGUUUCAUUUUGCAUUCCUCAAUUGUCUUACUGCACUUCAUUAGUUACAUCAUCAUGAUCUGAUACUCUAUAUGUUUUUACAUUUCAGGGUUUCUCUGACUUCUCAGGACUUCGAAACUCCUCUGCUCUUCCCUUCGGCAAGAAGUCUUCUUCCGAUGAGUUUGUUUCCUUCGUCAGCUUCCAGACUUCUGCAGUGAGUUCCUUUCCUCUUGGUUUCUUCUGUGUUAUGUCUCUUGUGUGCAUCUUUAUGAACCAAGUACAUGUUGUUAUUUUUCUGUGUUGUAGAUGGGAAGCAAUGGUGGAUACAGGAAAGGAGUGACCGAGGCCAAGCUAAAGGUAGCCAUCAAUGGAUUCGGUAGGAUCGGCAGGAACUUCUUGAGAUGCUGGCACGGUCGUAAAGACUCUCCUCUCGAUGUUAUCGCCAUUAACGACACUGGUGGUGUCAAACAAGCAACGCAUCUCCUCAAAUACGACUCCACUCUUGGAAUCUUCGAUGCUGAUGUCAAGCCUUCAGGAGACUCCGCUCUCUCCGUUGAUGGAAAGAUCAUCAAGAUUGUUUCUGACCGUAACCCAUCCAACCUCCCCUGGGGGUAAGUCAAACAAAAAAAACAACACUUAAAAGAUUGUUUGAUUUUUUUCAAAUUGAUCUAAAACUUUUAUGAACGUAUCUGGUGAUGAUGGUUAGGGAACUAGGCAUUGACUUGGUCAUCGAAGGAACCGGAGUGUUUGUAGACAGAGAAGGUGCUGGAAAGCACAUUCAAGCUGGAGCCAAGAAGGUUCUGAUCACUGCACCUGGUAAAGGUGAUAUCCCAACUUAUGUCGUUGGUGUCAAUGCUGAACUUUACAGCCAUGAAGACACAAUCAUCAGCAAUGCUUCUUGUACCACUAACUGUCUCGCACCAUUCGUCAAGGUUCUUGACCAGAAGUUCGGUAAGCAUCAUUAGCCUAUAGUAAUGACUACAUAAUGUAACUUAAAGACUAAACUUUUUACUUAUUUUUGUGUUGAACAUGGUAGGGAUCAUAAAGGGUACAAUGACAACUACUCACUCAUACACUGGUGACCAAAGGCUGCUAGAUGCUAGCCACCGUGAUCUAAGGAGAGCAAGAGCAGCGGCUUUGAACAUCGUUCCAACAUCUACAGGAGCAGCUAAGGCCGUGGCGCUAGUGCUCCCUAACCUCAAAGGGAAACUCAAUGGAAUCGCGUUGCGUGUGCCAACUCCCAACGUCUCGGUGGUUGACUUAGUUGUGCAGGUCUCCAAGAAGACUUUUGCUGAAGAGGUUAACGCUGCUUUCAGGGAUGCAGCUGAGAAAGAGCUUAAAGGUAUACUCGAUGUCUGCGAUGAGCCUCUUGUCUCUGUUGACUUCAGGUGCUCUGAUGUGUCCUCCACCAUUGAUUCUUCUCUGACCAUGGUUAUGGGAGAUGAUAUGGUUAAAGUGAUUGCUUGGUAUGAUAAUGAAUGGGGUUACUCUCAGAGAGUUGUUGAUUUGGCUGACAUUGUUGCCAAUAACUGGAAGUGAAGACCUCAUCUUUUGAUGUCUGCUCCAUUUUUUAUUACUGUUAUAUGAUUCGGAAUGUAUAAUUGUAGUUCCUGAGUUUAUGUAUUUGUGCUCUGCAAUUUUAUAGUAAUAAAC